GCAUGUUUCUUCUAUUUUUUUUCCACAGGACCAAAGAUAGCUUCCUCACAUACGCAGCAGUGCAGCCCACGCUCGCGUCGUUCUUCCUCCGCUCGCUUCUGCGUCUCCUAAUCCUCUGCUUGCUGCCACGCCACGAACGUCUUUCGACAGCAGCAGGCUCAUCCAUCGUCGACCUGAGCAGCAGUCGUGUGCUGGUCUACGUUUCCAGCCACGACCCAAGCGGAUCGAAGCUCCCGGCAACAGCUUCGCUUUCUUGGACAGCACCGACGACCUCUCUCUGGAUUUCCCACUCUGUUUUGAUUUCAAUAUUGUCGAUGGAGAGUACGUGCUAGUACCGGCACCGGCAACAGAAGGUGGACAACAAGAGAGUAAUCUGACUGCUGUCGAGGUUGUUCAAGACCUGAAUCCCACUUCGGGAGACUUUUUCCCCGGCCCAACUCAAGAAGAUACUAACAUAGAGGAGAUGGUUGCUGGAAUAACUUGGCCAAGUCAUUUGCCACCUGGAUGGACGGUCGAGUGGGAUAUGACCUCCGCAGGAGAGGAUCAUGUGGAGUAGCUCGUGGUCGGCUUUGCCAUCCUACUUAUGUAUCAUUAGCUUAUCGUUAGCACGACGUUACCUUUAUUUCCGCUGCCAGUGAAACUUGGAACCAAUGGUUUAUGUUCAAACCUAUGUCUUGUAAUAAUAAUAAUCGUCCUUAAUA